UGAGGAAUAUUGGGUCAAUGGGCGGGAGCCUGAACCAGCCAAGCCGCGUGAGGGAGGAGGGCCCUAUGGGUCGUAAACCUCUUUUGUCAGGGAACAAAAGCGAGUAUGUAUACUAGUCUGAGUGUACCUGAAGAAAAACGCAUCGGCUAACUCCGUGCCAGCAGCCGCGGUAAUACGGAGGAUGCGAGCGUUAUCCGGAUUUAUUGGGUUUAAAGGGUGCGUAGGCGGCGGUGCAAGUCAGCGGUAAAAGCCCGGGGCUCAACCCCGGCGAGCCGUUGAAACUGCAGUGCUAGAGAAGGCGAGAGGUACGCGGAAUGCGCAGUGUAGCGGUGAAAUGCUUAGAUAUUGCGCAGAACUCCGAUUGCGAAGGCAGCGUACUGGCGCCUGACUGACGCUGAGGCACGAAAGCGUGGGGAUCGAACAGGAUUAGAUACCC
rnacentral:rRNA from 1 species